UGGGGAAUAUUGGACAAUGGGCGAAAGCCUGAUCCAGCGACGCCGCGUGUGUGAAGAAGGCCUGCGGGUUGUAAAGCACUUUCGAUGGGAACGAAAUGUGCCGGGUUAAUACCCCGGUAAGCUGACGUUACUCAAUGAAGAAGCACCGGCUAACUCUGUGCCAGCAGCCGCGGUAAUACAGAGGGUGCGAGCGUUAAUCGGAAUUACUGGGCGUAAAGCGCACGUAGGUGGCGACGUAAGUCGGGUGUGAAAGCCCCGGGCUCAACCUGGGAACUGCGUCUGAUACUGGAGGGCUUGAGUAUGGGAGAGGGAUGUAGAAUUCCAGGUGUAGCGGUGAAAUGCGUAGAUAUCUGGAGGAAUACCGGUGGCGAAGGCGGCAUCCUGGACCAUUACUGACGCUGAGGCACGAAAGCUAGGGGAGCAAACGGGAUUAGAUACCCAAGUAGUCCCUGAGCGGGCUGGCAAGGCGCAU
rnacentral:rRNA from 1 species